rnacentral:rRNA from 2 species
CACUAUCGUUAACUGAAUACAUAGGUUAACGAGGCGAACCGGGGGAACUGAAACAUCUAAGUACCCCGAGGAAAAGAAAUCAACCGAGAUUCCCCCAGUAGCGGCGAGCGAACGGGGAGCAGCCCAGAGUCUGAAUCAGCUUGUGUGUUAGUGGAACGGUCUGGAAAGUCCGACGGUACAGGGUGAUAGUCCCGUACACCAAAAUGCACAGGCUGUGAACUCGAAGAGUAGGGCGGGACACGUGGUAUCCUGUCUGAAUAUGGGGGGACCAUCCUCCAAGGCUAAAUACUCCUGACUGACCGAUAGUGAACCAGUACCGUGAGGGAAAGGCGAAAAGAACCCCGGCGAGGGGAGUGAAAAAGAACCUGAAACCGUGUACGUACAAGCAGUGGGAGCACCUUCGGGUGUGACUGCGUACCUUUUGUAUAAUGGGUCAGCGACUUAUAUUCUGUAGCAAGGUUAACCGUAUAGGGGAGCCGCAGGGAAACCGAGUCUUAACUGGGCGUUAAGUUGCAGGGUAUAGACCCGAAACCCGGUGAUCUAGCCAUGGGCAGGUUGAAGGUUGGGUAACACUAACUGGAGGACCGAACCGACUAAUGUUGAAAAAUUAGCGGAUGACUUGUGGCUGGGGGUGAAAGGCCAAUCAAACCGGGAGAUAGCUGGUUCUCCCCGAAAGCUAUUUAGGUAGCGCCUCGUGAAUUCAUCUUCGGGGGUAGAGCACUGUUUCGGCUAGGGGGUCAUCCCGACUUACCAACCCGAUGCAAACUACGAAUACCGAAGAAUGUUAUCACGGGAGACACACGGCGGGUGCUAACGUCCGUCGUGAAGAGGGAAACAACCCAGACCGCCAGCUAAGGUCCCAAAGUCAUGGUUAAGUGGGAAACGAUGUGGGAAGGCACAGACAGCCAGGAUGUUGGCUUAGAAGCAGCCAUCAUUUAAAGAAAGCGUAAUAGCUCACUGGUCGAGUCGGCCUGCGCGGAAGAUGUAACGGGGCUAAACCAUGCACCGAAGCUGCGGCAGCGACACUAUGUGUUGUUGGGUAGGGGAGCGUUCUGUAAGCCUGCGAAGGUGACCUGUGAGGGUUGCUGGAGGUAUCAGAAGUGCGAAUGCUGACAUAAGUAACGAUAAAGCGGGUGAAAAGCCCGCUCGCCGGAAGACCAAGGGUUCCUGUCCAACGUUAAUCGGGGCAGGGUGAGUCGACCCCUAAGGCGAGGCCGAAAGGCGUAGUCGAUGGGAAACAGGUUAAUAUUCCUGUACUUGGUGUUACUGCGAAGGGGGGACGGAGAAGGCUAUGUUAGCCGGGCGACGGUUGUCCCGGUUUAAGCAUGUAGGCGGAGGUUCCAGGUAAAUCCGGUACCUUUUAACGCUGAGGUGUGAUGACGAGGCACUACGGUGCUGAAGUAACAAAUGCCCUGCUUCCAGGAAAAGCCUCUAAGCAUCAGGUAACAUCAAAUCGUACCCCAAACCGACACAGGUGGUCAGGUAGAGAAUACCAAGGCGCUUGAGAGAACUCGGGUGAAGGAACUAGGCAAAAUGGUGCCGUAACUUCGGGAGAAGGCACGCUGGUGUGUAGGUGAAGUCCCUGCGGACGGAGCUGAGACCAGUCGAAGAUACCAGCUGGCUGCAACUGUUUAUUAAAAACACAGCACUGUGCAAACACGAAAGUGGACGUAUACGGUGUGACGCCUGCCCGGUGCCGGAAGGUUAAUUGAUGGGGUUAUCCGUAAGGAGAAGCUCUUGAUCGAAGCCCCGGUAAACGGCGGCCGUAACUAUAACGGUCCUAAGGUAGCGAAAUUCCUUGUCGGGUAAGUUCCGACCUGCACGAAUGGCGUAAUGAUGGCCAGGCUGUCUCCACCCGAGACUCAGUGAAAUUGAACUCGCUGUGAAGAUGCAGUGUACCCGCGGCAAGACGGAAAGACCCCGUGAACCUUUACUAUAGCUUGACACUGAACAUUGAGCCUUGAUGUGUAGGAUAGGUGGGAGGCUUUGAAGCGUGGACGCCAGUCUGCGUGGAGCCAACCUUGAAAUACCACCCUUUAAUGUUUGAUGUUCUAACGUUGGCCCCUUAUCGGGGUUGCGGACAGUGUCUGGUGGGUAGUUUGACUGGGGCGGUCUCCUCCCAAAGAGUAACGGAGGAGCACGAAGGUUAGCUAAUCCUGGUCGGACAUCAGGAGGUUAGUGCAAUGGCAUAAGCUAGCUUGACUGCGAGCGUGACGGCGCGAGCAGGUGCGAAAGCAGGUCAUAGUGAUCCGGUGGUUCUGAAUGGAAGGGCCAUCGCUCAACGGAUAAAAGGUACUCCGGGGAUAACAGGCUGAUACCGCCCAAGAGUUCAUAUCGACGGCGGUGUUUGGCACCUCGAUGUCGGCUCAUCACAUCCUGGGGCUGAAGUAGGUCCCAAGGGUAUGGCUGUUCGCCAUUUAAAGUGGUACGCGAGCUGGGUUUAGAACGUCGUGAGACAGUUCGGUCCCUAUCUGCCGUGGGCGCUGGAGAAUUGAGGGGGGCUGCUCCUAGUACGAGAGGACCGGAGUGGACGCAUCACUGGUGUUCGGGUUGUCAUGCCAAUGGCACUGCCCGGUAGCUAAAUGCGGAAGAGAUAAGUGCUGAAAGCAUCUAAGCACGAAACUUGCCCCGAGAUGAGUUCUCCCUGAGACUAUAAGUCUCCUGAAGGAACGUUGAAGACGACGACGUUGAUAGGCCGGGUGUGUAAGCGCAGCGAUGCGUUGAGCUAACCGGUACUAAUGAACCGUGAGGCUUAACCUU